GCCCCGGUAGCCCAAUCGGCAGAGGCCGCGGUCUCAAACACCGUCCAGUGUGGGUUCGAGUCCCACCCGGGGCA
rnacentral:tRNA from 1 species